rnacentral:tRNA from 1 species
CAGAGCGUGGCUCAGUGGAAAGAGCACAGGCUUGAGAGUCAGAGGUCAUGGGUUCGAAUCCCUGCUCUGC